rnacentral:rRNA from 1 species
GUCCACGCCCUAAACGAUGUCUACUAGUUGUUGGGUCUUAAUUGACUUAGUAACGCAGCUAACGCGUGAAGUAGACCGCCUGGGGAGUACGGUCGCAAGAUUAAAACUCAAAGGAAUUGACGGGACCCGCACAAGCGGUGGAUGAUGUGGAUUAAUUCGAUGCAACGCGAAAACCUUACCUACCCUUGACAUGUACAGAAUGCCGAAGAGAUUUGGCGGUGCUCGCAAGAGAACUGUAACACAGGUGCUGCAUGGCUGUCGU